rnacentral:rRNA from 1 species
UACGGAGGGAGCUAGCGUUGUUCGGAAUUACUGGGCGUAAAGCGCACGUAGGCGGCUUUGUAAGUUAGAGGUGAAAGCCCGGGGCUCAACCCCGGAAUUGCCUUUAAGACUGCAUCGCUUGAAUCCGGGAGAGGUGAGUGGAAUUCCGAGUGUAGAGGUGAAAUUCGUAGAUAUUCGGAAGAACACCAGUGGCGAAGGCGGCUACCUGGACCAGCACUGACACUGAGGCACGAAAGCGUGGGGAGCAAACAGG